CACCAACUUCAAACGGCAAAACCCACUUCAAAGAGCCAACAUCGACAAAUCCCAAACCCAAAUCCAACGGCGAUCCGACCCGCAAACACCACAGCUUCAACCAAACGAACCUCUCUCUCUUUUCAACGCCUGAAUUUUGCGGAUCUCGAGCUUGGUAUUUGACUUUUGUUCAAAGAUAGGUGUGCUCCUUGCUCCAAAUCUCAUCCAAAUCAGAAGCAUCACAGUCAAAAUCGGAUUUAUUGGGAUAUGUUUUGAUCUUUUUUUUCUUUCAAUUUUUGUCAAAUCUUCAACCACUCUAUAUGACAAAAACAAACUUUCUUUUGAAUUUCAAAUGUGAGCUUUUCGAUUAUAAAUAGGAACCGAGGCUUCCAUUAAAAGGGGAUUCUUUGGAGAAUUUUGGGGGAAAAUUGGGGGUUCUGAAGGUGCUUGCCUUUAACCUCACGAAAUCGAAAUUCUCGAAGAACACUCGAGCAAUUGAAAUUCAAAAUCCCAAAUUGUGGUGACGGAAGUUUGUUGUAAAAGUUGGUCGUCCUGGUAUCGCUGCCAAAAAAAGGUUUUCUUUUUGUCUUGCUUUUGUAUUAAGGUGCCGUUUGGUUUGCGAUUUGGAUGUAAAUAAUUUCAGGAUAAAAUAAUAAUCUCAAGAAUUUCUAUCAUGGACAAAGAGGCUAAAGAUCAUGCAUAUAAGAUUUUUAAAAAUAAUUACCGAGGUUAUCAAGGUAUGCCGAAGAAUUCAAGAGCUAAAACAAUUGAAGGCGAUCUAGAAGAAGCAUUAUAUUUGGAGCGGUAGAAAAGAGAUACUGACUAUUUGAUCAAGAAGAGGGAUUGAAGUGGCAUAAAAUCUGCAAGUCAAUUUUUGGAUGGAACCAAGUCAAAUUACGCAACUUUAUGAAUUAUCAAGCACCAAUCAUCGGCUUACUGAGACACCAAUCGUGAUUUAAAGGGUUAGUGAUGUAUUUCACCUUCCUUAUUUGUAUCUUAGAUAUUUACAACUGUUAUAUAACUAAUUAAAUUAAUUCUCCAUCUUUACAUGUCCAAAAGAUGUUGAAUUUAACUAUUGUAUUCAUCUUUAUUAUUUAAACAAAUAUCUUAUUUCGUGUAACAUUUAAACUCAUUAAAGUGAAGUACACACGAGGCGCGUACACCUUAACUAGCAUAUAUACAUAGAAUUGCCACUUAUUUUGUGUAUAAAUUGUAAAUAUUGAAACUUAGACUAGGAAGUUAGUUGGGGGUUUGAGCUGUA